rnacentral:rRNA from 1 species
GAUCAUGGCUCAGAUUGAACGCUGGCGGAAUGCUUUACACAUGCAAGUCGAACGGCAGCACGGGACUUCGGUCUGGUGGCGAGUGGCGAACGGGUGAGUAAUAUAUCGGAAACGUGCCCAGUCGUGGGGGAUAACGUAGCGAAAGCUACGCUAAUACCGCAUACGAUCUACGGAUGAAAGCGGGGGAUCGCAAGACCUCGCGCGAUUGGAGCGGCCGAUAUCAGAUUAGCUAGUUGGUGGGGUAAAAGCUCACCAAGGCGACGAUCUGUAGCUGGUCUGAGAGGACGAUCAGACACACUGGAACUGAGACACGGUCCAGACUCCUACGGGAGGCAGCAGUGGGGAAUUUUCCGCAAUGGGCGAAAGCCUGACGGAGCAAUACCGCGUGAGGGAAGAAUGCCUAUGGGUUGUAAACCUCUUUUUUCAGGGAGGAAUAAAAUGACGUGUACCUGAAGAAUAAGCAUCGGCUAACUCCGUG